AGAAAUAAACAUCCAGUGGUGUUCCAGGCUUCUUCAAAUAGGUGCAAGUACCCAGUAUGGGAAAGAUGGCCUUUCCACAAGGCUGGAAAGUAUGGGACAUGAAUAUGCAAGGAUCCUAAACCACCUUUGUGUCCCCCACGAUGAUGGCAUCAGGACAAAGUCUACCACAACACUUCACAGGAAAAAAAAUCAACAAAAAAUAUUGCCUCAAAGCGUGGUCUAAAACUAACUGUUCAGGCAGUUAAAAAGGACAUAUUUCUACUCUUCGACACUCCACAAUGACAGAAGCAAAUGAAAUAGAUGAGCUUUGCCAUCCUUAUAGAAAGGUCUAGAAUUCUUUCAGGAAGAAAAUCUAGACAGAAAUUCAGGUAUGUUUACACAUGGGUUUUGUCCUUUUUUCUCUCUAGGUAUUGAAUUGAGCAACACUACUUUUAAUUUCUGUGUUUCCCAAAUUGCUCAUCAUUAGCAGAAAGUAUUCUUACAGUCAUCAUUACAAGUCAACCUGAAUUUUCUGUUUUGACUGAACACUUUCAUUCACCAUUUUACUGAAAGAGAGCUUGUCAACAUUUGAUGGAAAUUUUAGGGCAUUUUGUUAAUUGUAAUUCAUUUACCUUCCAAAUAAGAGUAUAAUGCAACUAUUUCAAUUUCUUUUUAAAACAGACUUUCUUUUUCCUUUUCUUUUCUUUCUUUUUAUGUUGUCCAUCAUGCUUGCAAAAUUCUAAGUAGAUGAGGAGGUUUUUUUUCAUAUGUGAACCACCUUUAAUCUCUUUUUCCUUAAUGUCUGCAGAUCCUGC
rnacentral:lncRNA from 1 species